GACGUAGGGCGCGAGCGUUGUCCGGAUUUAUUGGGCGUAAAGAGCUCGUAGGCGGCUUGUCGCGUCGAAUGUGAAAACUCGGGGCUCAACUCCGAGCUUGCAUUCGAUACGGGCAGGCUAGAGUUCGGUAGGGGAGACUGGAAUUCCUGGUGUAGCGGUGAAAUGCGCAGAUAUCAGGAGGAACACCGAUGGCGAAGGCAGGUCUCUGGGCAUUAACUGACGCCUGAGGAGCGAAAGCAUGGGGAGCGAACAGG
rnacentral:rRNA from 1 species